UUGCAACAAGGGAACACCUGCCUCUCUAGGAUCUCAUUUGUUGUUAUGGAUGAGGCUGACAUACUGUUGGACAUGGGGUUUGAGCCGCAGAUAAGAGAGGUGAUGCGGAAUGUUCCCAUAAAGCGCCAAACGUUGCUGUUUAGUGCAACAAUGCCAGUAGAAAUUGAAGCCCUUGCGCAGAAGUACCUUAGUGACCCAGUGCAAGUGAAGGUUGGAAAGGUUCAGGGAG